rnacentral:rRNA from 1 species
GACGAACGCUGGCGGCGUGCCUAAUACAUGCAAGUAGAACGCACAGUUUAUACCGUAGCUUGCUACACCAUAGACUGUGAGUUGCGAACGGGUGAGUAACGCGUAGGUAACCUGCCUGGUAGCAGGGGAUAACUAUUGGAAACGAUAGCUAAUACCGCAUAAUAUUGAUUAUUGCAUGAUAAUUGAUUGAAAGAUGCUAUUGCAUCACUACCAGAUGGACCUGCGUUGUAUUAGCUAGUAGGUGAGGUAACGGCUCACCUAGGCGACGAUACAUAGCCGACCUGAGAGGGUGAUCGGCCACACUGGGACUGAGACACGGCCCAGACUCCUACGGGAGGCAGCAGUAGGGAAUCUUCGGCAAUGGACGAAAGUCUGACCGAGCAACGCCGCGUGAGUGAAGAAGGUUUUCGGAUCGUAAAGCUCUGUUGUAAGAGAAGAACGGGUGUGAGAGUGGAAGUUCACACUGUGACGGUAUCUUACCAGAAAGGGACGGCUAACUACGUG